GUGCCAGUAGAGUAGUGGUUAACUCGUUUGCUUUACACGCAAAAGAUCCCAAGAUCAAGACUUGGCUGGCACC